AUAUAGUUGGUUUUUUUUCUCCCCAUUUUCUCAGUAUAUGACAAUCCAGGUCCUUUAGGAUCAUGUGCCAUUAUGGAAUGUCAACUACAAGAUAUAAAUCCUAUACAGCCCCAUUGUUCUUAAAUAAGUGGUGCAAUAAUUUUGGUAUAGGGUCUGUAAGGACUAGCCUACGAUAAUAGAAUUAUUGAACAGUGAUAUUGCUUCUGG